rnacentral:rRNA from 1 species
UACAGAGGCCUCAAGCGUUGUUCGGAUUCAUUGGGCGUAAAGGGCGCGUAGGCGGCGCGACAAGUCAGUGGUGAAAGCCCGAGGCUCAACUUCGGGUCGGCCACUGAUACUGUCGGGCUCGAGCACUGUAGAGGCAGGUGGAAUUCCGGGUGUAGCGGUGGAAUGCGUAGAGAUCCGGAAGAACACCGGUGGCGAAGGCGGCCUGCUGGGCAGUAGCUGACGCUGAGGCGCGACAGCGUGGGGAGCAAACAGG